GCUCCCUUCGUCUAGUGGCCCAGGACGUCGGCCUCUCACGCCGAAAACAGGGGUUCGAUUCCCCUAGGGAGCGCCA
rnacentral:tRNA from 1 species